UUUUUAAGGAAUUACCUAAUAUGUGCAUUCAAACAUUGUUGGAAAGGAUAGGAUUGCAAAUAAACAAUGAGAGGAUUGCAAAUAAACAAAAAGAAUAAUUGUGGGACUGAGUGAAUCAAGGAAAUCAAUUAAAUAAAAAAUGGAAUUUAUGUGAAAAAAGUUAGAAAUAUUAAUGUUGGUGGCGUUCAUAAUAUUACACACUAUUUUGAAAAAAGUAAAACGACUGCUUGAAAAAAAGGAUCUGACAUUAUUAAAAAAUUAACUGACUAGGGUACUUUUAACUUGGAAUUAAAAAAUCUGCAAAAGACGAAGAAGUGCUAUUGAAAUAGCGAACUCUUUUAAAUGUUUCAUAAAGAAAAAAUAUUCACAGUGGAUUACUUUGAGUUUCUUAAACGAUCAAGGGUUCAAAACCAAUAAAUGUAAAAAGGUCCCUCUAUUAACAAUCCAUUUUAAAAAAGAACCUAAUUAGCAUUGAUAAACACUAAUAAAAAUACAGAAUGAUAAAAAGGACGGAAGAAUCGUAAUUUUGUCUGGACCUGGAUUGCCUUCAAAUGUGCACUCAAAAGUCUAACGAGAAAUUUCAUUCUGAUCGUCUACAAAAAACAGUAAAAGGAAUUCUAAGACUUAUGACAUGGAGUUGCUACUCUGCUAAAGGCGUUGGAAGAUUGUAUAAAGUCGGCAACGAAAAUAAGAUAAGCUCUAAAUAAUAAAUUAAAUUAUUACAAGAGUUCUUAUUACCAACCCUAAUAGAGUUAAAUAAUUAAAAAAUAUAUUUCAACAGAA